rnacentral:rRNA from 1 species
AUACGGAGGAUGCAAGCGUUAUCCGGAUUCAUUGGGUUUAAAGGGUGCGCAGGCGGAUUGGUAAGUCAGGGGUGAAAUCCCACAGCUCAACUGUGGAACUGCCUUUGAUACUGUCAGUCUAGAGUAUAGUUGAAGUGGGCGGAAUGUGUCAUGUAGCGGUGAAAUGCUUAGAUAUGACACAGAACACCGAUCGCGAAGGCAGCUCGCUAAGCUAUAACUGACACUGAGGUGCGAAAGCGUGGGGAGC